GUGAUUCCACUGUUUGAAAUGACCUCCAAGCAUAGUGCUGAAGUGCUAUGCUCCCAAGCACAAGAAGCCUGGUGGUGGAAAGUAGAAUGGUGAUUGCCAAUGGUUAGGAGGAGGGAUGGGGGAUGGAAGGAGCUACUAUAUAAUAGAUACAAAGUUUCAAUUUGGGAAUAUCAAGAAGUUCUGGAGAUUGUUGUUGAUGAUUGCAUAAAGUGCAAAUGUACUUAAUGCCUCUGAACUACACACUUAAAAAUGGUUAAAUGGUCGAUUCUAUGUUAUGUAUAUUUUGCCACAGUUUUUAAAAAAGAGAUUAUAGUAUGUCUUAGGAAAAAAUUCCUUUGUGGAAAAAUAUGUGUGUUAUAUAAGCUCUGUUCAGACUUGAGUUGUAAGUGCCAUUUGCUAUGAGUUAAACGUUAAUGAAUCUACAAUAUCUAUUAUAUAAGAUAUCUUUAAACAGAAGUACACAUAAAACAAAUUAUACAUUGAUUGGUUGAUGGAAAUGUUGUGAUCAGAAGCUCAUGGGAACAUAACCUUUUAUUUCCUCUAGGAGCAGUGGUGCAGUAAUCAUUCAUUCAGUGUUGGCAGUGACUACAAAACACAGCUACUGUGAAUAAUGAGAAUCAACUAUAUCUAAUCAACUUCUGUAAAGAUCAACUUGCACAAACCCUUAAAGAUAUUUGUAGAGCUUAUAAUGUUGAAAAGUUGGGAAUAACCUACAUGUCUGACAAAUAGAAGUAAAUCCAAUAAAUUGCAGUAUCCCCAGCCUAUAGGUCCUGUCAGAAGAUGGUUACCAGGUAAUAUCGACAUCCUGAGAAUACCAGGUCGCGAGGUAGAUGCUAGUGGAAGCAUGUUGGGCACUUCCUGGGAGGUGUUGAUCUCACAGCUGGUAUGUGCAGAUAGGUUCUUAUAUCCCACUUCUUCACUAGUUCAAAUUCUGUAAUAUAAAAUUCAUUCUUCCUCAGUUAUGUAAAAAUUGUCCUUCCUCAGUUAUAUAAAAUAUUAACUGUCUUUGUGGGUAGAAGGAAGUUGUUUCUUGAAUAAAUAUAUUCAAUGUGACUUCUGUAGAAUUGCAAGGGUGUUUUGAAAAUUAAUUUCAUCAGGUGCUGUGCUAAAUACCAGUAACACAAAAAAUUAAUAAUGACAUGAUGCCCCUGAUGACCUCACACUCCAGUCAGGGAGACAGACUUGUAAACAGAUACGUUAAAGUAGAAGGUGGUAAGUGCUCUUGGGAGGAUUGAGCAAAGAGCUGUCAGUGCAAAAGCACAGAGGACUCUGCCCAAGGGAGUCAAGAAGGUUUAACAGAAAGGUGACAUUUGAGCUAGAUCUUGAAGGAUGGGCAGGAGUUUGCCAGGUUAAUGAGAGGAUCUCUAUAUAAAGUGCCUAGGACAGAGCCAGGUACUUGGUAAGACUCAAUAAAUGUUAACAUCUAGUUCCAGUCCAGGAAGUGUUCCAGGCAGAGGACACAGGUCAGUUCAAUUCAAGGAACACUUAUUGAGUACCUUGUAUAUAUCAGGCACUGUUCCAGGUUCUUUAGCCCUAUGUGCCAGGCACAUCUUGUGAAGACAGAUAAUUUCACAAGGAUCUAGUCUGACCCAUGUCCAGAUCUACUAUUUAUAGAUUUUGCUCUCAAGAUGGAACAGAGAUGUUUGUUUUAACACUGUUAACACCUUCCAUCUUGAUUGUAAUCUUCUACAACAGCAUUGAUGGCACUGAGAUGUAAGCAGCUAAUGACUGUUCUAGACUCAGUUUCAUGAAGGCAGUGGUGAUAGUGUGGUCUGACUUCCCUUGUGUACGGGGCCACUUUGAUCUGCACUUGAGUCAGGUCAGGGCAACAGCUUUUCCUCUUAGCAUGGAUGGAAGAAUCCAGAAGCCUGCACUUCUGUUCUAGCUCACUGACCUGGUAGCUGCCCUCUCUUCAUUAAGACCUUUUAUCAUACCCGAUCAUCAAAUCUUGAUGCUUUAUUCUACAGUAGAGUAGGAAAUAGUAUAGAAUAAAUAGACUCUAUACUGUUAUCUGAAUUUAUUAUACUAAACACAGAACCUAUACAUUUCCACAUCUGAAAUAGAACAUUUCUAAAUAUAAGGAACCUUCUGUAAGUGUUUUCAAUGGCAGUUUUACUAGCUGGGAUACAGAAAAUAGAAGGAAUGGGCCAGGUGUUUCAUAAACACUUCAUUUAAUCCUCACAGCAGUUCUAUAUGAAUUAUUGUAAUUGUUAUACAAAUUAGGAAACCAAGGCACAAAGCAUUUAACUUAAAUCAGACUAAAAAUGGGAGUGCUGGGAUUUAAACCAGUCUAUCUAAUUCCAAACCCACUUUCUUUCCACUACAACAGUGUCCAAUUUUAAUGCUACCAUUUAUUUUCUUUCUACCAUAUGCCAGACACAAUGUGAGAUGCUUAAAUACAUCCUCUCUAAUCCUCAUGAAUUUUAUUUCAUAGGCUAUUAAUGCAAUUAAGUUCUUCAUUACAAGUCAUAGCCAGCAAAUUAUAGAUCUCAACUUGGUCUAUAGGUCUGAAACCUGGAAGCCUGUUUUCUAUUUACUACACCAGUGGUUCUCAGCGCUGGGUGUAUAUUGGAAAAAAAAUUGGGUACUUCAGAAAAAAGCCUUACCCUCAGAGACUCUACUUUAAUUGGUCUGGAGUACAGCCCAGGUGAUUUAAAUCUUCUAGGUGAUUUUAAUGUGCUCUCUAGUCAGGGGCACUAGAGUCAGGUCCUGCAACAGCUCUUCCUCCUAGCAUGCAUGGAUGGAUUGCAACUCAAAAAGUUCAAGUGAAUAGGAAGCUUGAGGUAAGGCACAAUUUCAUUUAUUAUGAUAAAUUGGUGGGAAGUGACACCCAGACUAUUUAAAGUGAUUGUGUUUUCCUGGAAACUACACAGAGGAAGGAGCAAGGAUUUUGGAGUAAGAUAGUCUAACUUUUAAUUAGUUUGACCCUUUCUUUCCGAGUGGCCCUCGGCAAGUUACUUAACAUUCUGUAAAAUAUUGAAUUGUGAAAGAAGUAAAAGGUGUCCUUGGAAGGCUAUUCUAUCUUGGAACAGAUAGAGUGAAUGCUGCCUUUGGUGACCCCCUCCUGGGGAUCAGCAAGCACACAGUACAUUGAAAAGGCCCCAGGCAAACUGAUUUUUCUAAGCAAUCUAAUUAUAAAGCCCAUCUUAUGUUUCCCAUUCUUCCCACCCCCAAACAUUCCUCAAGCCCGUAGGGGCCUUUCUCAUUACAGCUACUUAUGGGUGAUUCCUUUAUUGCCGGACACACAUUGUUGGAAGGUGAGCAGAAGAGGAUUCCCUUUAAGCCUGAAUGCCAGGGUGGGAUAUGUAUGUAUGCUCAGGUGAGAGGGAAAGAGGAAGGGUAUUUUUAAUGUCUCAUAUUAGACUUGAAGUAUACUUUGCAAUAGAAACAACAACUGGAUGGUAAUAAGGUUUCUUUGUUAUUCAAUUAAAACCUACUCAAAAUUUUGCCAGAAAUGUACUCUAUUUUAUAUACAAAUAGGACUAUGUUUUGGUAAUCUUUUCAGUCUGAUAGGCUUUGAGGAAUUAGUAUGGAAGCAUAACCAUUAUUUGUAACAUUACUUCUAUGAGAAAUAUGGGGUCACUCCUUGGGCUCCAAGCAAUAGCUUCUUUCCUCUGUAACUCAGCUUAACAAGUUUAGUGAAGCUAAAUUGGUCAUCUAGUGAAGAUGGACUGAGGCAGCUCGAAGAAUGCCGUUUGCUCUCUGGAGUUUAGCAGAACUCUUUGAGCUACUGAUUAUAAGAUCACAACAUACUUGAAGUCAAGGGUCAUUUCUUUCUUUUUUUUGUGUCCCUGUUCCUCCCAAGCAACUGAUCAUAUAGUGGGAGCAUAUAGUGGGCAUUAACAUAUACAUAGAUUAGAUUUGAGAUCAGCAAUGACCUCACUGUCAGUGGAAAAGUGGACUCUGGGAGUCAGUACCAUGCAGGGACAAGACAUUCCUCAAAUGAUCUUCCAUUGUUUUCUGGAAUCAGAUGUCUUUCAAUGACAAGACUUUGAGAGAGUACGUGGUUGUUACAGUAAAAUAUCAUGGUGGAAAUUAUGAGUAUGGUUCAGAUUGCACUAGAAAGCAUAGAGAAAGAAAAUGACAAAUGCAGGGCUUUACAUUUUUUGCUCAAGGCCCUGUUGGAACUUUGGAAAGCUUCCUUGGCUGCCUUCAAAAAUAUCUUUUUUCUUGUGUGAGACUGAGGUACAAAUAAAAAAAAACAACCUAACUUUGAUUAUGCAAAAAACAAAACCUAAGUUUGCCAAAACCACAUGCAUUGUUGGCAAAAAACAAACCUAAGUCUGAUCAUGUAGUUUUAUGCAUUACAAUGUAGACUUCUAGGCAUCAGUUAGGAGUGUAGGAUCCUGAGAAUGGAAAUACCUGGGUAGUGAGUCCAGCUACCUUGAGUCCCCAAGUACUGCUGAGUCUUAGUUGUAAGGAGAAGCAAUCCUUCCUCCAUCUGAUGUUUUUUCUCUUUACUUUAUAAACCUUUUGUAAUAUUACCUAAGGUAGUUGGUUUGUUACCUGCAAUAUAUAUGUUGUAAUAUUACCUGAGAUAGAGGGUGAUGAAUCCCCUCAAGGUCAAUCCCUGCUACUUCUCUUUGCUUCCAGACCCAAGCCUAUUCUAGUAGAUUCAAAUUCUGGAAGACCUCAGGGAAGAAGUCAGAAAAGAAAAAAAUUGGAAAAUUUGCAUGAUGAUUACAGUUCUCAUUUCAAUAUAGUUUAUGGGCUAUACCUGGUAUUUACACCUCCCUUCUUCUACGUUUCUCCUGUUCCUUUUAUUAGCUAACACUUUAGCUAGUUGUGAUUGCUUAUCAAUCGCUGUAGGGAAACUGGAAAUUACCAUGGCCAGAAUCCUCACCUGACCCUAAUCUACCUGCUUAUUGCAUAUGUGCAAUGCUCGCAGACUCAUGUUUGCACACCUGUUGAUGGUGAGCCAUCAUUGUCUGUGUUUCUAUAU